CUCGACUGUACCACAGUAGAUGCCACGAGAUCGACUGCGGAGAUCUCGGCCGGCUACCAUAGCAAAUGGAUUGAGGAGAUAAGGAAGAGUGAGUAGCCGUGCGGAUAAGAGCAACGACGAAGAGGCGAAAAGAUGCGAGAGUGAGUGCGGAUUAAGAGCAACGACGAAGAGGCGAACAGAUGAGAGAGUGAGUGCGGGGUGCGAGGUGCGAGAGAUCCAAAGCACAGAUGCUUUCGGUUAUUCGUAGAUUAGCUGUAGGACAAAACGUGUGCGGUUUAGAUUGGAUAGGGUACAAGGCUAGCUGCGUUAGGAAAUAAAGUGUGUAAUUGUUCUAGCUGUAUAAGUGGUUUUCUUGGUUCGUUUUGAGUGCGGUAAAUUUAAGUGCUAAUUAUUUGUUGUUUUAGAUAGUGUUGUUCUAAUUUACGGUUCAUGUGGUGACAGCGGAAAGCAGUGCGUUAUUUAGCCUGUGUGGUGCGUCUUUUCUGACUGGUGAACGGUGCUAUUACCUAGCUAUUAGUGUUAAACAUAGCGUAACGUUUACUUUUAAUUUUUUAUUUAGACUAAACAAAAACGAAUACAUAGAAGUAGAUAAGUACGUAACUUUCUCCUUCUCUUCAUAGAAGUAGCAGUGAUAAAGGAGCUAGCAUCAUCGUUGCAAUGGCGGCAGUGAAUGAUCGAGAGAGUCACUAAAAGUCAUUCGAAUCGUCGUACAAUAGUUUACUUAAGUUUUGUAUUGGUUAAUUGUAUGUAGUAGAGAUAGAGAAGCACAACACGGCACGGACUGAAAGCGCGGAAACACAUGACAUACUGGUGAGCGGCUGCUAAAAAGAAUUAGGCUCGAGGUGACAAUGACGGAUGAGGCCGGUAGAGAGGCUGCGCAAUGGCGGAUGAGGCCGGUAGAGCGACUGCGCAAAGAAAGAAGCGGCAUGACCGGUACAACUCGGAAAUCGGUGAUUCGGUGAUUCGGUGAAUCUUGGAAGGCAAAAAUCUCUAUCUGCGGCUCGAAAACUUGGCGAAAUUUAUGUGAAUGCGUAACGCGAUGAGAUUACGGCGCAUACAGAUACGUACAUUUACACCACAAUGAAAUGUCAGGAAUGGGGAAGAGACAGGAGCAUUGCAAAGGGGCGCUGUUAACAUGUUGGUGCACGAUUCAGCUAGACGAAGGGUUGGCCUGUUUAGAUGUGUUAAGAAGGUUAGGCGUUACCUUGAAUCAUGUACACGGAAAGACAUGAAUUGGCCAUCGUAUCGUCAAAGUAACGUAAUGUCGCAGAAGUUGCGUGGAAGCGUUAUUAGCUCAUGCGUUGAUAGCGAUAUCGUCAAUAAGGCAGAGGUGAACCGAUAGGGGCAACGAACGACUUGUUAUUUGGUGCAAAAAAAAAAAAAAAAAAAGGGAAAAGCCAUGUAGCGACCUCGACUGUACCACAGUAGAUGCCACGAGAUCGACUGCGGAGAUCUCGGCCGGCUACCAUAGCAAAUGGAUUGAGGAGAUAAGGAAGAGUGAGUAGCCGUGCGGAUAAGAGCAACGACGAAGAGGCGAAAAGAUGCGAGAGUGAGUGCGGAUUAAGAGCAACGACGAAGAGGCGAACAGAUGAGAGAGUGAGUGCGGGGUGCGAGGUGCGAGAGAUCCAAAGCACAGAUGCUUUCGAUUAUUCGUAGAUUAGCUGUAGGACAAAACGUGUGCGGUUUAGAUUGGAUAGGGUACAAGGCUAGCUGCGUUAGGAAAUAAAGUGUGUAAUUGUUCUAGCUGUA